rnacentral:rRNA from 1 species
GACAGAGGGUGCAAACGUUGUUCGGAAUUACUGGGCGUAAAGCGCGUGUAGGCGGCCCUGCAAGUCGGGUGUGAAAUCCCACGGCUCAACCGUGGAAGUGCACUCGAAACUGCAGGGCUAGAGUCCUGGAGAGGAAGGUGGAAUGCUUGGUGUAGAGGUGAAAUUCGUAGAUAUCAAGCGGAACACCGGUGGCGAAGGCGGCCUUCUGGACCGACACUGACGCUGAGGCGCGAAAGCUAGGGGAGCAAACGGG